CCCCUUCUUCUGGAUAACCGCAUGAAAGUGUGGCUAAUACGGGAUAUUCUGUGCCUGCUGCAUGGUGGGUGUGGGAAAGAUUGCGCUUUUUGGUGUUUUGGUGGGGGAUGGGCUCGCGGCCUAUCAGCUUGUUGGUGGGGUGAUGGCCUACCAAGGCGGUGACGGGUAGCCGGCCUGAGAGGGUGGACGGUCACACUGGGACUGAGACACGGCCCAG
rnacentral:rRNA from 1 species